ACUAGAUUUUCACCGAAAACGCUAAACCUCGGCUGAGAACAGCUGGUGAGAUUACAUGGAGAAGCUGUGACAUCAUGGGAUCUUGUGAAUGGGUGAUUACAUCUCCAAAGGAUAAGUAAGGAAGACCAGAAGCUGUGUGCGUUUUUAACACCUUGUUUAAUAAUUGCACCUAAUACCUGAGAUGAUGUCUGGGCAGGAUUACAGACACACAAGGGUUUCUGUCAAGUUGAUCAAAAUGCGAAGCAAGCAGUUGAGAUAAGCCAUGCCAGGUUCCUGUGUGGCAUGUCAACCCUUCAGAAGAAACUAACUCUUUGAACAGAGUUUAUGUUUGGCAAGACUUUACCGCUGGGGGACACAGGAGAGAGAUGCUGUGGACAACUUGGGCCUAAGAACACAGGGCAAAGUGGCCAGGGCAUGGAAUUGCACAUGGGGCGACCCCUGCAGUUCAAGAUGGACUAGGGAUUUGCUAAAGGAAGAAAGGGAGGAACUGGAGGUCAGACCUUGGCAACAAAGCUCAUAGUCACAUUGUGCACGGAGCGGCUGCCAGCGUGGGAAAACCUUAGCGCCGGAGUGGAAAUGUGGCCUGACAAACAAAGGCCACAUACCAAACGUGUAAAUUCACAGACACUGGAGAAAAAUGUCCCAAAUGAGUAUGUUUAAAAUGUUCAAGUUCUUACCCGCUGUCCUAAGAUCAACCCAAAUGCCAACUUAAGAGAAAAAAAAAAACAAAAAAAAAACAAAAACAAAAACUCAAACAGACAAUCGAGCAAACAAACAAAGAAGUCAUCAGUUCCCUUCCACCUUGACUCUUCCUGUUCCGAUAACUGGUGUUGCAGGUGUGCACCACACAGGCUAACAAUGGGUAACCUGUAGCCUCCAAAGUAGGCAACAAUGAAACAUUUUUAAAACAUUCUAGCUGUUGUUUUGAUACUUUAUUUUUAGUGUGUGUGUGUGUGCAGGUGUC
rnacentral:lncRNA from 1 species